rnacentral:rRNA from 2 species
UGACCUCGGAUCAGGUAGGGAUACCCGCUGAACUUAAGCAUAUCAAUAAGCGGAGGAAAAGAAACCAACAGGGAUUGCCUCAGUAACGGCGAGUGAAGCGGCAAGAGCUCAAAUUUGAAAGCUGGGCCUUUCAGGUCCCGCAUUGUAAUUUGCAGAGGAUGCUUCGGGAGUGGUCCCCAUCUAAGUGCUCUGGAACGGGCCGUCAUAGAGGGUGAGAAUCCCGUAUGGGAUGGGGUGUCCACGCCCGUGUGAAGCUCCUUCGACGAGUCGAGUUGUUUGGGAAUGCAGCUCUAAAUGGGUGGUAAAUUUCAUCUAAAGCUAAAUAUUGACCGGAGACCGAUAGCGCACAAGUAGAGUGAUCGAAAGAUGAAAAGCACUUUGAAAAGAGAGUUAAAAAGCACGUGAAAUUGUUGAAAGGGAAGCGCUUGCGACCAGACUCGCCUCUAGGGUUCAGCGUGCAUUCGUGCACGUGUACUUCCCUUGGGGCGGGCCAGCGUCGGUUUGGGCGGCCGGUAAAAGGCUCUCGGAAUGUAACGCCUCUCGGGGCGUCUUAUAGCCGGGGGUGCCAUGCGGCCAGCUCAGACCGAGGAACGCGCUUCGGCUCGGACGCUGGCAUAAUGGUCGUAAACGACC